rnacentral:rRNA from 1 species
UGCUUAACACAUGCAAGUCGAACGGAAAGGCCCUGCUUGCAGGGUACUCGAGUGGCGAACGGGUGAGUAACACGUGGGUGAUCUGCCCUGCACUUCGGGAUAAGCCUGGGAAACUGGGUCUAAUACCGGAUAGGAGCCAUUUUUAGUGUGAUGGUUGGAAAGUUUUUUCGGUGUAGGAUGAGCUCGCGGCCUAUCAGCUUGUUGGUGGGGUAAUGGCCUACCAAGGCGGCGACGGGUAGCCGGCCUGAGAGGGUGGACGGCCACAUUGGGACUGAGAUACGGCCCAGACUCCUACGGGAGGCAGCAGUGGGGAAUAUUGCACAAUGGGCGCAAGCCUGAUGCAGCGACGCCGCGUGGGGGAUGACGGCCUUCGGGUUGUAAACUCCUUUCGCUAGGGACGAAGCUUUUUGUGACGGUACCUAGAUAAGAAGCACCGGCUAACUACGUGCCAGCAGCCGCGGUAAUACGUAGGGUGCGAGCGUUGUCCGGAAUUACUGGGCGUAAAGGGCUCGUAGGUGGUUUGUCGCGUCGUCUGUGAAAUUCCGGGGCUUAACUCCGGGCGUGCAGGCGAUACGGGCAUAACUUGAGUACUGUAGGGGUAACUGGAAUUCCUGGUGUAGCGGUGAAAUGCGCAGAUAUCAGGAGGAACACCGAUGGCGAAGGCAGGUUACUGGGCAGUUACUGACGCUGAGGAGCGAAAGCAUGGGUAGCGAACAGGAUUAGAUACCCUGGUAGUC